AGCCAUUCAAUGGCUGUUGAGGCUGUCCUUUGCACGCUGCAAAAAAUUGCAGCGUGCAUGCUGCGAUAAUUUUUUUUUUUUUUUUAAACAACUUGAUAAUUACAGAAAUGAUAAAAUAAAAUAUAAAUAAUAAUAAUAAUAAUAAAAAUUACACAAACCAGGUAAUAAUAAUAAUAACAAAACAAAAAAUAAUUUUAAACAAAAAACUAAACAAAAAAAAAGGCCAUUUUUAAUUAAUUUUUCAAUUUUUCAUUUUUCAUCAUUUUCUUUUUCUUUUUUUUCAUUUUUCCAAUCCAACUAAAGCCUAUUUUUUCUUCUUUUCCUCUUUUUCUUCUUUAAUUUUCUCUUUUCUCCUUUUUUUAUGAUUUUUCAUUUUCAUUUUUCUUUCAAAAAGCAUUGAAUAAAAACAAAAUGACUAAAACAUAUUUUUGAUGUUUUCCUUUUCUUUUUCUAAAAACUCUAUGCUAAUCUUAAACUAAAAGCUAAAACUAAAAACUAAAACUAAAAGUAAAUAAGAAUAAAUAGCAAAUGAAAUAGGUCAACUAAAAGGGCGAACAUGAAUAAAACUAAAAUAUCAUAACAACUAAUAGUGCAAAACACACAAUAAUGAACUAAAAUGCAAGCAAUCUAAAAUGAAAAUCAUGAAAUAGAUGCUACAUAAAAUUAUUCAAAAUUUGGUGUCUACACCCAUAGAGUGGUUUGUUGGGAAUUUCCAGUCCAGGGAGCCUUCAAGUUAAAUACGAUGGGUGCUCGCUAGGCAAACCCGGGCGUUAGUGGCGGGGCUGGUGUGCUUAGGGACUCGUCUGGUGCUUUGUUGUUUGGCUUUUCUGUUCCGUUUGGGGAACUUACAUGUCUGCAAGCGGAGAUAAAGGCUUUGGUGUUUGGGUGCAACAAUGCCGUCUUCGGGUUUCUCGCGGAUUCGGGGGAGGUGGAUUCUCUUGUGUUAGUCAACCUCCUGGUAAGACAAGUCAGGUGUCCGUGGUCAGUUCGGUCGGAUCUGGAAUCGUUACGGGCUGUCCAAGGUUGGAGUGGACGGUGGGGCAUUGUUAUCGGGAAAUGAAUCAAGUGGCGGAUGCCUUAGCCAAGGUUGGGGCACAUUCUGAGGGUACUAUUUUAUACGACACAGUCUGAGUUGUCAAGGGUGGCAAGGGGGGCCUUAGGUUUAGAUAGGUCGCAGAUUCCUGGCGAUUCGUACUCGAGCUAUUUCUCACUGAAGCCUGUAUAUUUUGAUUUUCUUGAUUCUAAAUAAAUCGUAGUUUUUAUAAAAAAAAAAAAAAAAAAAAGAGUCUUGCGUGGAACAUCCUAUCCUAGACUUGCCAACCGUCUUACUAAGCUCAAAAUUUUACCAAUAUUAAGAUAAACUGACUUAAAUAUGAUCUAACAUGAAUGCAUAAUUUACCAAGUUAAAUAAUUGGAAUUAGUUCAAAAUAACAGUAAGGCAGGCUUUGAUACCAGAACCGACCAGUAAUAGAAUCAAUAAUUAAACAUAAAGUAAUAGAAUAAGUCAAUUGAAAGUAAGAGCCAGAUAUAAAUUGAAAGUAAUAAAACUUACAAUAAUCAGAGUAGUCUAUGAAAAACGGAAGCUUUAAUGAAUUCAAACUUCUUGGAGCUUUUGAUUGAAGUGAAAUAGUACAGGGAUUGGAAUUGAGAGUACAAGAAAGAGAAGGAAUGAGAAGGAACACUCGAAAAUUUCAAUGCUAGAACCUACUAUUC
rnacentral:lncRNA from 1 species